CCUACGGGAGGCAGCAGUGAGGAAUAUUGGUCAAUGGCCGAGAGGCUGAACCAGCCAAGUCGCAUGAGGGAAGAAGGUCCUACGGAUUGUAACCCUCUUUUGUCAGGGAGCAAAUUCACCCACGUGUGGGUGUUGAAGAGUACCUGAAGACAAAGCAUCGGCGAACUCCGUGCCAGCAGCCGCGGGAAUACGGAGGAUGCGAGCGGUAUCCGGAUUUAUUGGGUUUAAAGGGUUCCUAGGCGGGUUAUCAAGUCAGCGGUAAAAUCGUGGAGCUCAACUCCAUCCGGGCGUUGAACCUGAUGAUCCUGAGUGGGCGAGAAGGAUGCGGAAUGGGUGGUGUAGCGGUGAAAUGCAUAGAUAUCA
rnacentral:rRNA from 1 species